CGUUUUCUUAUCCGCCCAGGUGUGCACGACCGCAAGGUCCGCAUUAAACGGGAAGCCGGUGCGCUCGCAGGAGCAAGGCCGGCGCUGCCCCCGCAACGGUAAUCGACCGCGAUCCUCGGGAUCGCCGUCCGCUCGACAGCCACUGUGUUCCGACAUGGGAAGGCGAGCGCGAUGCGCGUCGAAAGCCCGGAGACCGGCCUGACGGAUUCGACUGGU
rnacentral:ncRNA from 2 species